CAACCCGGGGGUAAUUACGGAGGGUUGCGAGCGUUUAUUCGGAAUUUACUGGGGCGUAAAGGGGCAUGCCAGGUGGUUUUGUUUAAGUCAAGAUGUGAAAAGCCCGGGGGCUCAAACCUCGGGAAUUUGCAUUUGGAAACUGGCAAACUUAGAGUACUGUAGAGGGGGGGUAGAAUUUCAAGGUGUAGCGGUGAAAUGCGUAGAGAUCUGAAGGAAUACCGGUGGCGAAGGCGGCCCCCUGGACAGAUACUGACACUCAGAUGCGAAAGCGUGGGGAGCAAACAGGAUUAGAUACCCUGGUAGUCCACGCCGUAAACGAUGUCUACUUGGAGGUUGUGGCCUUGAGCCGUGGCUUUCGGAGCUAACGCGUUAAGUAGACCGCCUGGGGAGUACGGUCGCAAGAUUAAAACUCAAAUGAAUUGACGGGGGCCCGCACAAGCGGUGGAGCAUGUGGUUUAAUUCGAUGCAACGCGAAGAACCUUACCUACUCUUGACAUCUACAGAAGCCAGCGGAGACGCAGGUGUGCCUUCGGGAACUGUAAGACAGGUGCUGCAUGGCUGUCGUCAGCUCGUGUUGUGAAAUGUUGGGUUAAGUCCCGCAACGAGCGCAACCCUUAUCCUUGUUUGCCAGCACUUCGGGUGGGAACUCCAGGGAGACUGCCGGUGAUAAGCCGGAGGAAGGUGGGGACGACGUCAAGUCAUCAUGGCCCUUACGAGUAGGGCUACACACGUGCUACAAUGGCGCAUACAGAGGGCGGCCAACUUGCGAAAGUGAGCGAAUCCCAAAAAGUGCGUCGUAGUCCGGAUUGGAGUCUGCAACUCGACUCCAUGAAGUCGGAAUCGCUAGUAAUCGUGGAUCAGAAUGCCACGGUGAAUACGUUCCCGGGCCUUGUACACACCGCCCGUCACACCAUGGGAGUGGGCUGCAAAAGAAGUGGGUAGUUUAACCUUCGGGAGGACGCUCACCACUUUGUGGUUCAUGACUGGGGUGAAGUCGUAACAAGGUAACCG
rnacentral:rRNA from 1 species